GCCCGUAUAGUAUAGUGGUUAUUAUUUCUCACUCGUACUCUAGCUUCGGCGGGUUGAUGAGAGGGUCCCUAGUUCAAAUCUGGGUGCGGGCA